UUAAUAUCUUUUGUUGAUACAAGUUUAUUAGCGCAAGGCUCAACCCCAUUGAGCCAUUACCCUGAGCCCGAAACUGAUAUGGUUUCGGGCCAUUUUUU
rnacentral:sRNA from 1 species